GCUCAAAGUUGGAACCUGUUUGGCUUAGCUAAACCGGAUUGUAAACUGUAGAAGUGUUUUCCAGACACGCCUGGUAAAAAAGUCCUUUGGAACAGGGCAUCAUAGAGGGUGAGAAUCCCGUCAUUGGCCAGAGCUGUUGUCUUUUGUGAUACAUUUUCAAAGAGUCAGGUUGUUUGGGAAUGCAGCCUAAAUUGGGUGGUAAAUCUCACCUAAAGCUAAAUAUUUGCGAGAGACCGAUAGCGAACAAGUACCGUGAGGGAAAGAUGAAAAGAACUUUGAAAAGAGAGUUAAACAGUAUGUGAAAUUGUUAAAAGGGAACCGUUUGGAGCCAGACUGGCUUGAUCGUAAUCACUCUAGGCUUUGGCCUGGAUGCACUUGCGGUCUAUGCCGGCCAACGACAGUUUUGUUUGAGGGAAAAAAUUACAUUGAAUGUGGCCCUUCGGGGUGUUAUAGCUUUGUAAAAAAUACCUUGGACGGGACUGAGGAACGCAGCGAAUGCCUUUAGGCGAGAUUGCUGGGUGCUUGCGCUGAUACAUGCUAGAAUUUCUGCUUCGGGUGGUGCUAGUGUGUAAAGGAGUAACCCGCUUAGUAUAUUUUUUAUUCGCUUAGGUUGUUGGCUUAAUGACUCUAAAUGACCCGUCUUGAAACACGGACCAAGGAGUCCACCAUUAGUGCAAGUAUUUGGGUGACAAACCCAUAUGCGCAAGGAAACUGAUUGAUACGAAGGCGCAAGCUGGCAGUAUCACCCGGCGUUGACGUUUUAUACUGAACUGACCGAGGUAAAGCACUAAUGAUGGGACCCGAAAGAUGGUGAACUAUGCCUGAAUAGGGUGAAGCCGGAGGAAACUCCGGUGGAGGCUCGUAGCGAUUCUGACGUGCAAUCGAUCGUCAAAUUUGGGUAUAGGGGCGAAAGACUAAUCGAACCAUCUAGUAGCUGGUUCCUGCCGAAGUUUCCCUCAGGAUAGCAGAAACUUAUACGCAGUUUUAUGAGGUAAAGCGAAUGAUUAGAGGCCUUGGGGACGAAAUGUCCUUAACCUAUUCUCAAACUUUAAAUAUGUAAGACGACCUGUUUGCUUAAUUGAAGCAGGUCAUUGAAUGCAGAGUUUCUAGUGGGCCAUUUUUGGUAAGCAGAACUGGCGAUGCGGGAUGAACCGAACGGAAAGUUAAGGUGCCGGAAUACACGCUCAUCAGACACCACAAAAGGUGUUAGUUCAUCUAGACAGCAGGACGGUGGCCAUGGAAGUCGGAAUCCGCUAAGGAGUGUGUAACAACUCACCUGCCGAAUGAACUAGCCCUGAAAAUGGAUGGCGCUUAAGCGUGUUACCCAUACUUUCCCGUUAUUGUAAAAGCGAAGCAAUAACGAGUAGGCAGGCGUGGAGGUUUUUAUAAACUGUUAAGAA
rnacentral:rRNA from 1 species